rnacentral:rRNA from 1 species
AGCGAACGCUGGUGGCAGGCCUAACACAUGCAAGUCGAACGAACCUUUCGGGGUUAGUGGCGGACGGGUGAGUAACACGUGGGAACGUGCCUUUAGGUUCGGAAUAACUCAGGGAAACUUGUGCUAAUACCGAAUGUGCCCUUCGGGGGAAAGAUUAAUCGCCUUUAGAGCGGCCCGCGUCUGAUUAGCUAGUUGGUUGAGGUAAUGGCUCACCAAGGCGACGAUCAGUAGCUGGUCUGAGAGGAUGAACAGCCACAUUGGGACUGAGACACGGCCCAAACUCCUACGGGAGGCAGCAGUGGGGAAUCUUGCGCAAUGGGCGAAAGCCUGACGCAGCCAUGCCGCGUGAAUGAUGAAGGUCUUAGGAUUGUAAAAUUCUUUCACCGGGGACGAUAAUGACGGUACCCGGAGAAGAAGCCCCGGCUAACUUCGUG